AAUUAACGAGUAGCUGCAGAAUUGGUGGUUCCUCAAGAAGGGUUCAGCUCCAUGAGUAAGUAAGUAAGUACAGGGGUGGAAGCACUAUCUCCAGUCACUUAUUGCAUGCAUUUGUGAAUUAGACAUCUGUUAGUGGCACUGUAGUUUGAGAUGGUGGAAGUGAGAAACAAGUGGAUUGUAAUGACAUGUAUGAAACUGGUGAGUGAUGUUAGUGAUGUAGAUUUUGAGUGGGAAAGCAUGUAACAUUACAAGGGCAGAGGAACUUCUCAGUGUUGGGCUUCUGCUGCAGAAUGCAGCAAAAGGAUAUGGUUUUCUUGAUGUUUGAAUAAUAUGUCAGCAAAGAUAUUUGAAUAUGCAGCAAACAGAAUAAUUAAUUAAACUGCAGGGGGCCUGUGUCUGAAGCAGAAUCUCGGAACCCAGAGAUUCACAUGGUGCUGUGGGUUUGAUAUCUUAAGUCAGUGUUUGACUUAGAUCUGUGUUUGCCUAAAAUGUGUCCCAUGCCUGAGUGCUCGCUUGAUGAUACCACCAUGUUUCCUGAUGAACUGUUUGAUCAGGUGUUGACUGGUAGUACCCUUGCCUGUGGAGACAGGGUUUUCUCCUGCUGUUGCCAUAAUGAUCAGAGCCUUUACAUUGCCCUACUCAGUGACAUACAGAUCUGCUUCAUCUGACAUCAGCUCCCUUUGCCCUGCAGUUUCCAUUCACACCCAUGAUAUCAUCUGGUUGUUAUCAAGUUACCCACCUUCAUAGGGCAGGGUUGCUGGGUAUCUCACCCUGUGGGUCUGCUUAGCAGUGAGUCUUCCAGUGCAGCAAGUGGCUGCAUGACUGCCAGUGACUAGCAAGACUGCUUGUUUAUGGGUAGGAGUGUGCUUUGAAUAACAGCUGUGAUGGACCUGUGCAAACAAAUCAAUUAUGUGGAGUCUGUUGCAUCUACAGUUGUGGUGAAGUUGAAUUGAGUCAGUGUUUAUAAGUGACUGAGUGUGCUUUCUCCCCAGCAGCCAAAGCAGACAAACGUGUCUGUACAUGUGUCUCAUUCCGUUAGCUGACACACACGACACAUCAGAAGCAAUACACUACUAGCCUUGAAACUCAGUAUUCCAUUCUGUUGCAGAAAUGGGGCAGUCCAUAUAAGCACCAAUGUAUAUAUUAUGUGAUAACAGUGUUCUGAUGCUGUGAAGUGCUCUUGGUGUUAAAACUGUAUAGUGCUCUGUACAUAAAUUGGGACAUGUGGUUAUACAGUAGAUGUACAAAUAGUUUUGAGGGUGAAAGUUACAGCAAGAAAGGGAAUGUCAGAAAUUUCACAUUGGACAAACCAAGUCAGAUGCGUUCAUACCUGAUUCAAUGGAAUCUAUUCCAUUCCAGUAGAUAACAUUUUAUAACAAAAUCUAGCAUGUUUGCCUAAAACUGUACAGUUGGAUAUUUGAGGCUGAAGCAGUAUGGGAUCUACACAGUAGACUGCAACAAGUGAGAUCUGCAGUUGACAGGCAGAUGAAAUCAUCACAUAAUACCACAGCUAGUGCUAGUUCAGUUCCAGCUCAGCAGGUUGCUAAAUGAGUGAAAGAAUUCUCAUGUGGAGGGAAAAUGCCCUGUCAUUAGAAUUUUUGAGAACCCUGCAGAUUUGGGGAAAGUACAAGAUAUGUGUAAUGAGAUAUACCCAGCUUCUUCUCAUGAUGCAUAUCCGGCUGUCAGUAUGAAAACUGAGGUAUAUUCAGAUCAAGAAGAAGAGGAGUAUCCUGUCCCACUGACGUUUGUAGGGAUAAAGGGUGAACCUGAGGUUAUUGUGUGUGAACCUGACACUGCUCUUCUCGAGAAGCGGUCAUUUUACUGUGAUGUGUGCAGUAAGUCGUUUAAAAAAUAUUCUGUUCUGAGGAUACAUCAGCGCACGCAUAGUGGAGAGAGGCCAUUUUGCUGUGAAGUGUGUAAUACGACAUUUAAACAGUAUUCUCAUCUGAAGACACAUCUCCGCAUACACAGUGAGGAGCGGCCAUUUUACUGUAAUGUGUGUAAUAAGUCAUUCAAGCACCACUCUUCCCUGAAGAUACAUAAACGCAUACAUAGUGGGGAACGACCAUUUUGCUGUGACAUUUGUAAUAAGUCAUUCAAUGUUCACAGUAAUCUGAAAAGGCAUGAGCGCAUACACAGUUGGUAAUAGCCAUUUUACUGUGAUGUGUUUAAUGUUAUUCAGCCUUCAGACACAUCAAGCCACACAUAGUGAUGUGUGCAGUAAAUAACAGAGCAGUAUAAAUGGGUUUAGGCUGAAUGGGGCAAUAUGCAACUUGCAGCAUGCCACACUAUUGCAAGAUGUAAGUAACACAGGUUUACUCUGUGUUGCAUGAUAUUGGAGUUGCUUGCUAAACUUUCUAACUGAUACAGGAAAUGAACUGAGUCCCACGGUACAAAAUGUCAAUGCAUAUCAAUAUCUGUUUAAUACUGAUUGCUGAAUGUGUACAAGACCCUGUGUAGGUGAGAGCAAGCAGACAUGACGUGACAUUCACCCACAGUUACGGUGUUUACCUCAGCUGCGGCAGCUUGCAAUUAGUAGAGAAUAGUAAUAGUAGAUUAUAGAAACUUAUCAAAAACUUGUAAAUAUAUUAUUGCAGUAUCAUUUGUCAUUUGCUGUAGGUCAUCAGUGCUCUUUUGCUGUCUCUACUGAGUAAGUUUGUUUAUCUGUUAGUUAUGAAUCGACAUAUCAUUUAUAUUGAGUAUAAUGAAAUAAAUCUUUUGGAAUGGUCAAUUAAACAGAAAGUGUGAAUUAGUGAUCAUUAUCUAACUAACUUCAUGGAGCCGAGUUGUUCUUGAGAAGCCACCAAUU